ACGGGUGCGUAACGCGUGGGAAUCUGCCCUUGGGUUCGGAAUAACGUCGGGAAACUGACGCUAAUACCGGAUGAUGACGUAAGUCCAAAGAUUUAUCGCCCAAGGAUGAGCCCGCGUAGGAUUAGCUAGUUGGUGAGGUAAAGGCUCACCAAGGCUACGAUCCUUAGCUGGUCUGAGAGGAUGAUCAGCCACACUGGGACUGAGACACGGCCCAGACUCCUACGGGAGGCAGCAGUAGGGAAUAUUGGACAAUGGGGGCAACCCUGAUCCAGCAAUGCCGCGUGAGCGAUGAAGGCCUUAGGGUUGUAAAGCUCUUUUACCCGGGAUGAUAAUGACAGUACCGGGAGAAUAAGCCCCGGCUAACUCCGUGCCAGCAGCCGCGGUAAUACGGAGGGGGCUAGCGUUGUUCGGAAUUACUGGGCGUAAAGCGCACGUAGGCGGCUAUUCAAGUCAGAGGUGAAAGCCCGGGGCUCAACCCCGGAAUAGCCUUUGAAACUAGAUAGCUUGAAUCCAGGAGAGGUGGGUGGAAUUCCGAGUGUAGAGGUGAAAUUCGUAGA
rnacentral:rRNA from 1 species